ACAUGCCUACAACAUAGCAUUGAUGCACCAGAUCCCAUUAGAUCUUCGCUGUUAAACACGCUCAGGCUAGAGUAGUAAUGGGAUGGGUGACUUCUUGGGAAGUCCUAGUGUUGCCUAUG
rnacentral:rRNA from 1 species